rnacentral:rRNA from 1 species
UGGGGAAUAUUGGACAAUGGAGGAAACUCUGAUCCAGCAAUUCUGUGUGUGUGAAGAAGGUUUUAGGACUGUAAAACACUUUUAGUAGGGAAGAAAAAAAUGACGGUACCUACAGAAGAAGCAACGGCUAAAUACGUGCCAGCAGCCGCGGUAAUACGUAUGUUGCGAGCGUUAUCCGGAAUUAUUGGGCUUAAAGGGCAUCUAGGCGGUAAGACAAGUUGAAGGUGAAGACCUGUGGCUCAACCAUAGGCUUGCCUACAAAACUGUUGAACUAGAGUACUGGAAAGGUGGGUGGAACUACACGAGUAGAGGUGAAAUUCUUAGAUAUGUGUAGGAAUGCCGAUGAUGAAGAUAACACACUGGACAGAAACGGACGCUGAAGUGCGAAAGCUAGGGGAGCAAACAGG